rnacentral:lncRNA from 1 species
GGGAGUCAUCCGUGUGUCUGGGCCGGGUCAGAGGGGAGUCAUCCGUGUGUCUGGGCUGGGUCAGAGGGGAGUCAUCCGUGUGUCUGGGCCGGGUCAGAGGGUAGCCCAUCAGAAGCUUCUCCCGUGGUUUGCUCUGUGGCUAGUUGAAUCAUCCUGGAGCAAGUUCCCCAGGCUGGAGAGUCCAUAGGAGUUGUCUCCUCAUCUUAAGGCAGGUUUGGUGUUGCACGGCAGGGCAGCCUUAGAGCCAGGGGGUUCUCCACCUCAGUAGGGUGGGGGCUUGGCCCAGUCUCCAUUAGGGCUCAUGGGGGUACUACCCCUGGAGGAGUGGAUGGGGCUGCCCUGGCUCAGACCCUGCCUCUGGCCCUCCCAGAAGAGGGCGUCGCUGGGUUUGGGCGGGGAGGGGAAGGACCAGGAGGAGUCAUCUAGAGAGGCCUGGUUGAGAGGAGGAGGAGGCAGGAGGACAGGGCUCGUACUGUCCAGGCCCAAGGCUCCAGGGUAGUGGCUGGACCAGGGACCGUUUGGCCAGUAGUCCUCCCUGAGACCCUCCAGAGCCGGAGGGCCCACGGGGGGAAGGCAGGGCCGGCCAGAGCUAGAGGGGACAGGGGGGGCUCGGGGCUCGGUCAUACGGACUGUUCGAUGGUUCAGGUUCUUCUCCACAUCGUCCAGGCACUGAACAGGGACAGUUGGUGCAGCUAGAGAGAGAAGGGCACAAACAGUUUCUUUAACUUGCUUCAAAAUCAGGUUGUCAGAUAAUUAAAAACAUUCUACCUGGUUGUGUUCAGUAGACGUCAAAACAGGAGGAAACAUUUUGACACGGUUGUUUCGGUACUAAACUGAACUGGUACAAUGACACCAAUUGUUGGUUUUCAGUUGCAUUAUGUUCUACCACGUUAUGCCCUACUGAACAAGACCCAGUAUUUAGCACCAUCACCCUUGCCACCUACCCCAAAGCAGAGGGACAGACAGCCAGACAGGCACCAUCACCCUUGCCACCUACCCCAAAGCAGAGGGACAGACAGCCACCAUCACCCUUGCCACCUACCCCAAAGCAGAGGGACAGACAGCCAACAGGCACUCAUCACCCUUGCCACCUACCCCAAAGCGAGGGACAGACAGCCAGACAGCACCAUCAACACCUUGCCACCUACCCAAAGCAGAGGGACAGACGCCAAACAGGCACCAUCACACUUGCCACCUACCCCAAAGCAGAGGGACAGACAGCCACAGGCAACCAUCACCCUUGCCACCUACCCCCAAAGCAGAGGGACAAGACGCCGACAGCCCACCACACCCUUGCCACCUACCCCAAAGCAGAGGGACAGACAGCCAGACAGGCACCAUCACCCUUGCCACCUAUACCCCAAAGCAGACUCAAGAAAAUAACCAUUCACAACCAAUUCAAACAAGCACUCAUCACAACCCAGGAC